GGUUGAUCCUGCCAGUGUUAUAUGCUGAUGUCAAAGAUUAAGCCAUGCAUGUGUAAGUUUAAAGACCACGACGGAUGAAACUGCGGACGGCUCAUUACAACAGUGAUAGUUUCUUUGGUUAGUGCGAUAAGGAUAACUCUGCUAAUUGUAGAGCUAAUACUUGAGACUGUCUGCGCGCCCACGGGCGCACAGGGAGCCGGCGACGGCUAGGAAGCACCCCGGGCCGGAGGGACGGGGAGCGGACAAUUGUAGGGGUCGGAGACUGUGACAAGGAACCAAUGAGAAUUUCUGA
rnacentral:rRNA from 1 species